UGCAAAUGGGUAGAAGAAAAUAUUUAGAAGUUAAAGGACUCUACUUUAGUUGUCUGUAAAAUUACCGUUCAGAAUGUAAUUCCCUAAUGCAGAGAUUUCGGAAACGUAGAAAUUAGAAAGGAUGAAAGAUUUCGGAAACGUAGAAAUUAGAAAGGAUGAAAAGUGUCUGGUUCCUCUUAGCAGCUGCAUCUGCCCCAGACAAACAGAUGCUUGCCUCUGGCCUCUCCCAGAAAACGCCUGUGUUGCCUUAGAUCACCAUCUGGUUGCCUUAAGACCUCAGCAGCCUGAUGAGUUCAGUAAAAGUCACGCAUUUGAGGGGUUUUUUGCUUUCUUACUGCUGUAAGUUUGGGAGUGGCUCUUUUUCUAGUUCUGUACAUCUCAAGCAGGAACUCGAUGUCUCUAUUGGAGCAGUUUACACAGAAAAAAUUACGUGACCCGAUUUAAAUAUCUGAAGGAUAAUUUUAGCACAUAUGGAAAAAAAUAGAAAGAGCCUGCAGUUGGGCACAAGAGACAGGGAAUGAGGCGACCGCAAUAACCCACGUAAGAAGUGAAUGGUAGACCAUACGAUCCAGCAAUCCUACUUCUGGAAAUUUACCCCGAAGAACUGAAAGGAGGGUCUUGAAGAACUGUUUGCACCUCCAUGUUCAUAGCAACGCUAUUCAUGGUAGCCAAGAAGUAGAAACAACCAAAAUGUCCAUUAAUAGAAAAAGAAAAUGUGGUACACACAGUGGAAUAUUAGCCUUAAAAAGAAAGAAAAUCCUGUCAAAUACUACAACGUAGGUAGGCCUUGAGGACAUUAUGUUAAAUGACAUGGGCAGUCACAAACUGACAAAUACCAUUAUGAUUUCAUUUCUGUGAGGUAUCCGACAUAGUCAAACUCUGAGAAACAGAAAAGUGGCACGGUGGCCGAGGGGCCAGGAGGUGGGGGAAAAGGGAGUUGUUGUGUGAUGAAUAUAGAGUUUCAGUUUUGCAGAAUGAAAAAGUUCUGGAGAUCUGCUUUCACCACAAUAAAAUGUUGAAGACUGAGUGAAUUCUCUGCGCAUGUUUUUAAAAUAAUCACAGUCAAAUGUGACCACCCGUUUUAACACUUCAAAAUACUCCUUUGGGAUUCAUGAUGUAAAUGAGAACACUUUUGUGCUUACGGUUUGUGCUUUCUGCUUAAAAGGACUUCAGUUCGUCAGCCGGUUCGGCUACGACUCACCUACAGAUACUAAGACGCGUUUCUGAACACCAUCCGAAGCUUGUCCUUUUUCCCGUGAUCCCUCUCUCCCUGAGCAAGUCAGCCUUUGCGUGAGACCAGCCGCCCGGGGAGUGGGGCGCCGCGACGUCCGCAUUGCAGGCUGUCAGCACCGGAGCAGGGUGAGCUUUUCUGUAAGUUCGAGAUUAUUUCAAAAGAAAAACAAGAAGAAUCUUUAAAGAACAUGUGUCAACCUCAUUUUCUGGCAUCGUGGCAACAAAGGACUGAACUGCGAUAAAUCGGUCUUCCUGGUUUUAGUGUAAUGGUUGAUUUCUCCUUCCUCAGUUUUGCUCUUGUGGGUCUUCUUUCAUUUUUUUGUAAAGCAAAGUUUAGUGGGAUUUAUCUUUGAAAAAGACUUAAGCCCACAGUGCUGACCUUUUUAGAAAUGAAAACACUUGAGGCUUCAUAAUGCAAAUGUGCCAAAUUGUAAGUGAACAACUAAUGAAUACUGUGUGAUUAAAAACACCUGUCAAAUGCUUACAGGAAAACAAUGUCAAAAGUUCUUUCUAAAAAAUAUUGCCGGGGCGCCUGGGUGGGUCAGUCGGUUGAGCUUCCGACUUCAGCUCAGGUCAUGAUCUUACCAUUUGCGAGUUCAAGCCCCGCGUCGGGCUCUGUGCUGACAGCUCUGGGCCUGAAGCCUGUUUCGGGUUUUGUGUCUCCCUCUUUUUCUCUGCCCCUCCCCUGCUUGCACUCUGCCUCUCUCUCUCAAAAAUAAACAGACAUUAAAAAAUAUUGCAAUUUUGUAGAACUGUAUCUUUGGCUAUUUUAUUAGUCUUUUGGUUGAGCUUUCAAUAGGUCGGGUUCUUACUUUCCUCAAGCUUUGGCUGAAAUAUUGUGCGAAUGCAAGGGUUAAUAAAAAUGAAGGAAACAAACGUUUGUAAUCUGUUUCCUUGAGUGUUCCCUUGGCCAGGU